CGUAGGGUGCUAGCGUUGUUCGGAAUCAUUGGGCGUAAAGCGAGUGUAGGUGGUCAAUAAAGUUGGGUGUGAAAUCCCUCGGCUCAACCGAGGAAGUGCAUUCAAAACUAAUUGGCUUGAGAGUGGUAGAGGAAGGUGGAAUUCCUAGUGUAGAGGUGAAAUUCGUAGAUAUUAGGAGGAAUACCGGAGGCGAAGGCGGCCUUCUGGACCAUUUCUGACACUGAGACUCGAAAGCGUGGGUAGCAAACAGGAUUAGAUACCCUGGUAGUCCACGCCGUAAACGAUGGGUACUAGAUGUUGCGGGAAUUGACCCCUGCAGUGUCGAAGCUAACGCAUUAAGUACCCCGCCUGGGAAGUACGGCCGCAAGGUUA
rnacentral:rRNA from 1 species